UUUCUGCUCCAGGCACUUCCGUUUCCACUGCUGAAGAUGAUGAUGAGGAACUGGUAUUUGCUGCAUCACAAUGUGAAGCACAGAUAAAUACAGAAUUAUGUCACAUCUUGCCUCAAGCUGGAUGUAUGCUUUGAGCGCAUUUCUUCGAAACCGUAAGGAUGUUUAAAGAGACCUGUUCUGGUCCGUCUCCAUCAGCGGAAACAGCAAAAGCACCAGGUCUUCCACAUCAUCCACCACCAGCUGAGCUUCCAGUUCACUGGAAAGAUCAUCUUCCACCUUUCCAGCAUGAGUGGAUACGGAACACACUAUUUAAGGCCAACCCGCGAACCGGCAAGCCAGAACUAGUGUCCCAACUGAAGCUUUGGUGGUAUCCUCCUCAGGUCCCUUUAAUUCACACUCAGCCGCCCGCCUCACCUGACCUCUUCUUCUGUCGGCCCCUUUUCUUAUGGAUGCCGCUCAAGAUGUGGCGAUUUCCUCUUGUCUGUGUUCGACCAGACUGUGAU